GCCUCAGACCCCGGAGUAGCCGGGACUACAGGCGCCUGUGCAAUCUCUAUGGUAACCACAUUUCCCAGCUGUCUACUACCGGUAAUAAAAUCAAAUGGAUUCAGUGCUCACAACUCUUCAGUCUUCGGGCUACUUUCCAUUCUUGAGUUUUUAGCUGAAUUCAUCUCUUUGGCUGGAUUUUAUGAAUCGGGCAGCCGUUAGAACCAAAACAGUUCUGAGGAACUCCCAGGCUGCAGUGUGGUGUGAAAUGUUUUAUGGACAGAAAAUGGAAAUGAGGUGCAGAAACUGGAGGGCAGAGAGUUAUAUUUUUCAUCUUCAUGUUGAGUAGAAAAUCCAUGAAAAUCUAAUACCCAGUUAUCACUCAAGUGUGACAAAUAGAAAGGAGCUUCAGAAUAGGAUCUUCAGUUCUACCAAAUGUCUCUGCCUAAUUACAUCAAUAUCCAUGUUGAUGAAAUUUCAGUCUUUAUUCAAGAUCAAGUGCAACUGUCUCUUUGAGGAAAGUCCUUUGACCCCCAUUUCUCCCCUUCAGAAGGCAAGCACCUGGGGGAGAAGAUCUGCUUAAGGACCUCGUAACUGACAAAGAAUGGAAUGGGAGCGAGAACUGCCUAGCCAUCCCUUCUCCUUGCACAGUCAUGAAACAAAGUUGAAAAGGAGCCUGGUUUUACUUGACCAGUCAUAAAUUACCAUAAAAUAAAAUGAGAUAUUAGGAACCUUUGAUCUCUGAAAAAGUAAUAUGUGUUGAAAAGAAAUAUCACUGUUACAUAUAGACAAAUAAUAUAAAUAUUUGAGGCAUGCAUUUAAAAUGUAGAGGCCACUUAUAGCAGGCAUAUUAACAUGUGCAUUUGCUUUUUAAGAAGUAUACACACGUGUACCUUUAGCUUUGAAAGGGUAAGAUUCAAUGCUUGGGAGAUGGAUGCACUAAAGUCUCAGAAGCCACCACUAAAGGACUUAUCCACGUAACCGAAAACAACCUGUACUCCAAAAUCAAUGAAAUAAAAUAAAAAGCAAAAUAAAAAG